UACGUAGGGGGCGAGCGUUGUCCGGAUUUAUUGGGCGUAAAGCGCUCGCAGGUGGUCCGAUGCGUCGUGCGUGAAAUACCCCGGCUCAACUGGGGGGCGUCGUGCGAUACGGUCGGACUGGAGGCCAGUAGGGGGAUGCGGAAUUCCGGGUGUAGUGGUGGAAUGCGUAGAGAUCCGGAGGAACACCAGCGGCGAAGGCGGCAUCCUGGACUGGUCCUGACACUCAGGAGCGAAAGCGUGGGGAGCGAUCAGG
rnacentral:rRNA from 1 species